CUGGUGGAAUGGCUUCAAAUCCAUCUGGGGGUGGAUGGGGGGCUGCUGGUGG
rnacentral:tRNA from 13 species